AUCCGGUAUUGCAUGUACAGGAUAGGUGGGAGGCUAAGAAAUGGUGACGCCAGUCGCCAUGGAGCCGAUGUUGGGAUACCACCCUUGCGGUAUUGGGUUUCUAACCUGCGGCCGUGAACCGGCCGGGGGACAAUGCCAGGCGGGGAGUUUGACUGGGGCGGUCGCCUCCGAAAGGGUAUCGGAGGCGCUCAAAGGUUCCCUCAGAAUGGUCGG
rnacentral:rRNA from 1 species